rnacentral:misc_RNA from 1 species
GAUGAAGAACGUAGCGAAAUGCGAUAAGUAGUGUGAAUUGCAGAAUUCAGUGAAUCAUCGAAUCUUUGAACGCACAUUGCGCCCCUUGGUAUCCCGAGGGGCAUGCCUGUUCGAGCGUCAUUUCACCACUCAAGCCUGGCUUGGUGUUGGGCGACGUCCUCUUUGGGGACGCGCCUCGAAACGCUCGGCGGCGUGGCACCGGCUUUAAGCGUAGCAGAAUCUUUCGCUUUGGAAGUCGGGGCCCCGUCUGCCGGAAGACCUGCUCGCAAGGUUGACCUCGGAUCAGGCAGGGAUACCCGUUGAACUUAAGCAUAUCAAUAAGCGGAGGA